rnacentral:lncRNA from 1 species
GAUUAUGGCACAAACACGACUCUAGAGGGGUUCCUGAACAUGUUGAGGAACCAUUGACAUCAGAAAAUUCUAGGUUGCAACACUUUGGAAAUGAGAGUUAUCUGCACCCUGAAUUUCUCCAUGUCAGUACCCCAAGGGCUUAACUAAAAGUCUGUAGAUAUAAUGAUCUUCUCCAAAACUGCAGAAUUAGACAUCACAAAUUCUACAAGACAAAUCUCAUGCUCAUCUACAUUGAAUCCUUCAAAUUGAACAACUUUAAAGCUUGACAGAAAGCAGUGAGGCACUAACGCUGAAGUCAACACAUCUUUGUUUACAAAAGUACAAUGCAAGGGUAUCACGUGUAGUAUCAUGUGAACCUCAAAGGAGGUUAGUCAAACAAUUUUUUCCAUUUUUCGUAUGCAAAGAAACUUGCUGGCCAUGAAAGUUUUGUAUCAGAAACUAGCAAAAUUGAUUUUAUUAAAUAAUCUUUAAUAUCAUACCGAAAUUGAUAUUUUAAAGGAAAAGUAUAAGGUAACGAUAUACUAUCUACCAAUUUAUUGUCAAUAAUAAUUAAUAUUAAAGACAUCUCCACUAAAAGACACAUGUAUAAAAAGACAUAUUCAAGAGAUACAUCUAUAAAACACUUCCAUUAGAUAUAGCCAUAAAAAAGAUAUUUUCAUUAGACACAUUCAUAAAAACACUUUCAUUAAACACAGUUAUAAAUAAGAGUUGGCAGAAGUUGAUAGAAUCUUUGUUGGUUACAUAGCGGAAUUGUAUUUAAAAUAAUGAAAUUGUUGAACAUGCAGAGGUCUUGGUUUUAGGGUGAUUGAUCAGUCAUGGAGUAUUACGCUAGACAUACUCUGGUAAAUGGUUGAGAAGCACGAUAUGGUACUUGGAAAAAAGAGACUCAAGUAGAAGGAAAAGUGAAAAACCCUGGCCAAACAACAACACUCAAGUAGAAGUAGAAAUAGUGGUGUACCACUGGCCAAGGAAGAGCUUUGCAAGCCAAAAUUUCCUACCACGGAGGAGGAGCGGCGACUAAGGAGGAAGGACUAACGCAACUUAGUGAAUCAGAUCUAGAACCAGGUGAGGAGACCGAAACCAGCAGUCAAAGGGAAUCAAAACAAAGGUGAAAAAGGAGGCAGUCCGGCAUGAAGAAAAAUGAGGCGACAAGCAGCAAAAAAAACAAAAACGACCUGGAGGAGCCGCGAAAAAUCAGGAAUGAUCAGCGCUAGCAGCGAGCCGUCUGGCCUCCAGUGUGGCAGUGACACAGGGAUGAUGGUGGUCAGUGAUGAGAGAGACUGAGAAAGCGAAUGUCCGAGAGAGGUGGCGACAUUUAAAA